GAUUGAUUUCCAAUAAUCUGGUCAUUGCCUGUCUGAUCCACAGGAUGCGGGCUACAGGGAAUUGUCAGCUCAUGUCCCGAUGGCUGUUGCCGUGGUGACUGGUGUGGAGAUAAUAGCAGUUAAUGAGAUAUUAACCCUGAAUAAGGAAGAAGACAGGAAGUGAUGAGCUUUUGCGGGAAAGACUAAAGACAGGAUUCAUCAAUGGACGACCUCGGCCUGAUCAAUAUUGUUUUGUUACUCGACGGCGGUAACAAGCAGCGCGACCUCCGUCUCUCUGAAACUGAGGAGCAAAUGACUACAAUCAAAGGAUAGUGCCAGAAAGCCGCCUCCUCCCAUGUCUCUCUCUGAGUCCUUGCACGCCAAUCUCGUCAUCCCAGCGGUUCAAAGAUGAAGAUGGAGCAAUGUGAGCUGAUGACCUGGAUUCAAACCUGCAACUUUUCAGAUAUCAGGAUGUCUAAAGCAGCAGAGGAGGAGAAGCCUGGGGCUGACUAUCCAGGGGACAGUUCAGACUCAGACAGAAACAGCCCUGAUGACCAGGUCCAGCCAAUGAAAACAAGCCCCUUUAGCCUCUCUCCCACGCCGGCUGGCAGC